GAUCCUGGCUCAGGAUGAACGCUAGCUACAGGCUUAACACAUGCAAGUCGAGGGGCAUCAGGAAGAAAGCUUGCUUUCUUUGCUGGCGACCGGCGCACGGGUGAGUAACACGUAUCCAACCUGCCCUUUACCCGGGGAUAGCCUUUCGAAAGAAAGAUUAAUACCCGAUGGGAUAAUGAUUCCGCAUGGUUUCAUUAUUAAAGGAUUCCGGUAAAGGAUGGGGAUGCGUUCCAUUAGGUUGUUGGUGAGGUAACGG
rnacentral:rRNA from 1 species